GGCCCGCAAGCACCGCGCGCAGUCCCGGUUCCUGCCCGCGCCUCUCCCUCCACACCUCCUUGCAAGCUGAGGGAGCCGGCUCUGGCCUUGGCCAGCCCAGAAAGGGGCUGCCAUAGUGCAGCGGAGGGCUGAAGGGCUCCUCAAGUGCCGUCAAAGUGGGAGCCCAGUCAGAGGAGGUGCCGAAAGCGAGCGAGGGCUGUGAGGACUGCCAGCACAGUGUCACCUCUCACUCUCUCUCAGUGCUGUGAGAGUAUGGGUUCCUCUCCCACUUGAGUGCUGGCUACAGAACUUGGCUUCGCACUGCUGGGCUGUGCACCACGGCCCUAAGCUGGAGGGCAGUAAGGGCAGUACCGCUGCAGCCGCAAUGAGAGAGGGGCUGUGCGUUGUCUACAGAAUUCCCUCCCCAGAGAAACUCAGAGCUGCCACCUACUGAAAUGUUCAGGGUCAUCAUGUCAUAGAUGGAAGAAGGUCAAGAUUGAUGAAUAUCAUGCUUCUUCAAACUUCCUUAACCUCUGACUCCAACUGUGAUGUUUGACUGCUGACAGCUUUCAAGCAGCACCCUGUCUCUCAUCCUGGGCUCCAC
rnacentral:lncRNA from 10 species